rnacentral:misc_RNA from 1 species
GUACCCUCAAGCUUUGCUUGGUGUUGGGCGUCUUGUCUGUGUUAUCAGACUCGCCUUAAAGUAAUUGGCAGCCAGUGUUUUUGGUAGUAAGCGCAGCACAAUUUGCGUCUUGGUCCCUAAACAGUGGCAUCCACAAAGCCUCUUUCUCAC